GACCUUUGGUCUUGGUAGAUGGCUCAGUAUGUUAAUUAAGAAAAUAUUGUAUUUCUUACUUAUCACAGUAUUUAUAAUAAUGAUGUUUUUUCUGACAUUUAAGUUCUUCUCCUGUCUUCUGUUAUCCUUGUGUAAAUCAAAACCUUGUGUUGGUCGUACUUUAAUUUAUAUGCCAGCUUCCUCAACCUCUGACAGCUACAGAACUGUAUAACUGAUGAAGGACCAUUCCUCCUGUGACCCCUGGCUUGCCCUGUCUAAGGGAAUCGUGGCGAAGGCAUUAAUAAAAGACCCACAGGUUUUGACUAGCAUACCUGGAAAUACCUCAGACACCUGGGUGAGCCAUGGGGUCAAAAAGAGGGAAAUUGUAAUGGAAUUAUUGAUGGAAGAUACCUUGACCCCAG